UGGGGAAUAUUGGACAAUGGGCGAAAGCCUGAUCCAGCCAUGCCGCGUGUGUGAAGAAGGUCUUCGGAUUGUAAAGCACUUUAAGUUGGGAGGAAGGGCAUUUACCUAAUACGUAAGUGUUUUGACGUUACCGACAGAAUAAGCACCGGCUAACUCUGUGCCAGCAGCCGCGGUAAUACAGAGGGUGCAAGCGUUAAUCGGAAUUACUGGGCGUAAAGCGCGCGUAGGUGGUUCGUUAAGUUGGAUGUGAAAUCCCCGGGCUCAACCUGGGAACUGCAUUCAAAACUGUCGAGCUAGAGUAUGGUAGAGGGUGGUGGAAUUUCCUGUGUAGCGGUGAAAUGCGUAGAUAUAGGAAGGAACACCAGUGGCGAAGGCGACCACCUGGACUGAUACUGACACUGAGGUGCGAAAGCGUGGGGAGCAAAACAGGAUUAGAUACCCUGGUAGUCCACGCCGUAAACGUGUCAACUAGCCGUUGGGAGCCUUGAGCUCUUAGUGGCGCAGCUAACGCAUUAAGUUGACCGCCUGGGGAGUACGGCCGCAAGGUUAAAACUCAAAUGAAUUGACGGGGUCAUAGCUGUUUCCUG
rnacentral:rRNA from 1 species